UUUUUUUUUUUUUUUUGAUGGUUUGAUGUUGAUUGUGCAGUGCAUUAUGUGGGCACUCUGCUUGAUGGAACUCAAUUUGAUUCGAGCCGUGACAGGGGAACUCCAUUCAAGUUGAAGCUUGGCCAAGGUAAAGACUAGCUAAGUUCGGUUGAAGUUCAAGGAUCAAUAGUAAUUUGAAGUUUAAUAUGACAGUUGUUUAGUCUUUUCAUCCCUGCUGACAAUGCAAUUUGCCCUGUUUUAAUCAGGUCUUAGUUUGUCCAGUUUGGAUUAUUGGACAGUACAAGAAGAUAAAAGAACACUCUUACAUUUUAGGCAAUUACCAGCCUGCCAGCAAAUAUGUUGUUAAUAAACAUCUGGAGUAGGUCUAUAAUUGAAAAGGCUUCUAUUUGAUUGUGGCAUUUUGAUUUUUACCUAAUGCAGGACAAGUUAUCAAAGGUUGGGAUGAGGGUAUUAAGACAAUGAAAAAGGGUGAGAAGGCCCUCUUCACCAUCCCUCCUGAGUUGGCCUAUGGGGAGUCUGGAUCACCUCCAACAAUACCUCCUAAUGCCACUCUGCAGUUUGAAGUUGAGUUGCUUUCUUGGACUAGUGUGAAAGAUAUAUGCAAAGAUGGUGGAAUAUUCAAGAAAGUACUUGUUGAAGGAGAGGGUUGGCAGAAUCCUAAAGAUCUUGAUGAAGUUUUUGGUGCGUCAAUCAUCUAUCAUUUCUUUAUAAUUGUUUUCAUGGCUUUCAUUGGAUGACUUGGGUUAUUAAAUUUGCUAAAUGUUCUCCUUCUCUUGCAGUCAAAUAUGAGGCACUGCUUGAGGAUGGAACUCUUAUUUCCAAAUCGGAUGGAGUUGAGUUCACUGUGAAAGAUGGUAAUAUGUUGUCCUCAUUAACCUUCUUCUUUCUCCAGUUUUCCGGGGACGCUUGUAAAAGUUUGAUCUGCUUGCAGGUUUCUUCUGUCCUGCUUUAGCAAAAGCUGUUAAAACAAUGAAGAAGGGUGAAAAAGCUCUCUUAACUGUCAAUUCACAAUGUAAGUUAGCUUUCUGCAUCCUAGAUUGGCUUGCAAUUUGUCCUUUGGGUUGCUGACUGUUGGUUAUUGCAGAUGCGUUUGGAGAGAAGGGAAGGCCUCAAGUUGGUGAUGAAAUUAGUGUUCCACCGAAUGCUUCACUUCAAAUUAAUCUUGAAUUGGUUUCAUGGAAAACUGUGUCCGAUGUUACCAAUGACAAAAAAGUGUUGAAGAAGAUCCUGGAGGAGGGAGAAGGAUAUGAGCGCCCAAAUGAUGGCACAGUUGUGAAAGGUAAACUGCAGAGCAAAAAUGUAAACUCUUUGCAGUGAUCCACCAUUGGAAUUUUCAUUCUAAAUUAUCUUUUAGUGUUUGGCAGUGAAAUUGACUGGAAAGCUGCAGGACGGAACUGUUUUUGUAAAAAAGGGACAUGAUGGAGAAGAAUUUGAGUUCAAGGUAGAUGAAGGUAAUUGGUCAUUCACCUAAUGCAACCUACAACUUAUAAGGCUCUAGCUGCCUUUAAUAUUUCAUACGGUACUAUUUUACUAUUUUUCACUCUUAUCAGCAAACAAUAUGUGGCCAUGUAUUGUAUCCUUUUCUACUUGUUCAGUUGUGUUGAACUUACCUUUUGCUGUCUGUCUGCAGAACAAGUCAUUGAAGGACUUGAUAGAGCUGUAAAAACAAUGAAAAAGGGUGAAAUGGCUCUUGUAAUUGUUCAACCCGAAUAUGCUUUUGGUCCAUCUGAGUCACAACAAGAGCUGGCUGUUGUUCCUGCAGAUUCAACCCUAUACUAUGAGAUUGAGAUGGUCUCCUUUGUCAACGUGAGUGAGCACUUUUCUCUGCACACAAAGAUGUUUGCCUUUCAAGCAUCUGGAUGAGGUUUUGACUAUUGUUACAUUUACUACUUACCAUAGGAGAAGGAAUCUUGGGACAUGAAUGCCCAAGAGAAAAUUGAGGCUGCUGGGAAGAAAAAGGAGGAAGGGAACGUAUGGUUCAAGGCAGGAAAAUAUGCGAGAGCCUCUAAGAGAUAUGAGAAGGUGCUGCACACUUCUGCAAAAAAAUUCAAAUCUCCUGUCCAUGAUUUUUAUUUCAAAUGUCCUUAAAAGGCUUCUUUUAUUGUGCUCAGGGUGUGGGCUUCGUAGAAUAUGACUCAUCUUUCAGCGAUGAGGAGAAGCAACAGGCUAAAUUGCUCAAGAUCAGUUGCAAUUUGAACAAUGCAGCUUGUAAACUGAAACUAAAAGACUAUAAAGAGGCAGUGAAAUUGUGCACAAAGGUCUUGGAUAUUGAUAGCAGGAACGUCAAAGCACUUUAUAGAAGGGCCCAAGCAUACAUCCAACUUGUUGAACUAGAAUUGGCAGAACAGGACAUAAAGAAAGCUCUUGAAAUUGAUCCAGAUAAUAGGUAUGAGUUCCACAGAUCUGUUGUAAUGUAUUAAAAUGAACAUUUUUGUAAAAAAUUCAUUUUCUUUGAUCUAAAUAUGAUUUAUAUACUAUAUGUCAAACUUGAACCAGUAUGUUAUUCUUUCAUGGCAUAUAUAUCUGAGAUUAGCCUAAAAUAUCGGUAGAUACAGAAGGAAGCAAAAUGGCAAGAAAAUACAUGUAGUUAUGAUCAGCUUAAAAGCAUGUUUUAUGUUCUGUGUUUUACUAUUUGUUUCUAAUGCCUUGCAUGAUUGGGAACAUGGAUGGCCAGGGAUGUAAAAAUGGAGUACAAAAUCCUGAAGGACAAAGUGAAGGAAUACAACCGGAAGGAUGCACAGUUCUAUGGUAGUAUAUUUGCCAAGAUGAGUAAACUGGAGCAACAAAAUUCUAGUGUAAGUCAUUGAGUUACUGAUAAGGUUUUCUUUUAAUUCGUCAGAAUGUAAUCUUAUAGUGGUAAACUAAUCAUGUUCUAACUACUUGUUGCUAAUCUAAUGAAUGCGUUGUUGAAAUGCAGAGUGCAGAAAAAAAAGAGGCAAUGCCAAUGGCCAUUGAUAGUAAGGCCUAAAAGUUCAUCUCUAGUAAUAUCUUCUCUUUUGUUCUCUUCUCUAAAAUGUGCAAGCAUCGAGUCUGUACUUAGAUAUAGCAUACCUUGUGUCAUCAUAGAGAGUAAUAAAAAGAGUUGUCUGUCUCUGAGGUGUCGAGUGAGUCCCUUGUACUAGAAAAUUGGUAUAUCAUUCGUGUCGAAGCAUGUUUGAUAUGCUUAAUCAAGUGACCAUGGCAAAUCUCUCUCUCUCUCUCUCUCUCUCUCUCUCCAGCAUAUUCUAUCUUCACAGCACCUCUGAAACUUACCACUUUUGUUUAGUUCACUGAAAAACUAUAAUGACUAUGAAGCAGCAAGAUAAAAAGCACCUAUAACGAUGGUGCUUCAACAUAUGUCAUAUAUUGUAUCCUUCUGUAUAUUGAAAUGCAUGUGUAAAAUGUAUUUGAUUGCCAAUUUCUUCAAUGCCUAUAUUGACUUAAGAUAAAACUUUGUUCCAUAAAGGGGCAGUACAUUUAAGGGCAGUAUCCAGCGUCAGCGCAAAAACAAGGGAUUGCUGGUCUGCUAUGAUAACUGCAGUAAAGGCAGGCCUUAGGAGCAUUUCUACCCGGCUAAAUGCCCCUGUCAAGAGCAAAACAUCAUAACAAGGAGCAUAAUCUCAGGUUUAGCUGAAAUAUCUAGUAAUGCUUGUUUGUAAGGUCAUACAAUUGAAUGCUUUCUGUAAGGCCAUAAGGUUACUGUUGUAAGCUUGAAAACAAUUUCUGUAAAAUAUCAGAUGAAUCUGAAAGGACGAUGUGUAACAAAAUGGGACACUAUGCCUCCCUGCUAAACAGGGAGCAGAAUGACAAGCUCAGACUUGUAGAACUAUGCUUUUAACUGUAAUAAAUACAACCAGUUUUACAAACAUUAUAGAUGUACUAUUAUGGUGCUCAGAGCAAAAAAGUACUUGUACUAUAAGAUUCUAAUCUGUUAAAUCUUCUCUUAUCAGAUAGAUUGCCUCAAUACAACACUAACACAAGAAACUCUGACAGAACAACUGAAGCCUCAAACUGCUAUAGUUUAUCCUAGAACUUUAAGCAGGCAUUGUCUCCAGAAAGUUGUCAUCACCAAACUUCCACAAAAUCCCAAUGCAUAUCCCAAUCCUGUUAAAAAGAAGAGCCAAAAUUUUUCAUGCAUUUUUUCGUUCUUGUCAUCAUCAAUCUGUCCUUUCCCAUUGCUGUUUUGGCCAGUGAGGAUCUGGCAUUUUGUAGGCAAUGGUUCCCCACAAAGUCCAGGAUUACCACCAUAAAUAGAGGGAUCUUGAAAUGUAAGGAACUGGUUGGUUGAUGGAAUUGGUCCAGAUAAGUUGUUAUGAGACAAAUUCAAAAAGUUUAAUGAGGUCAUGUGAGACAUGGCAGGAGGAAUACUACCAGAGAGAGAGUUCCAUGAGAGGUCAAAAGUUUCCAACAGGCCUAAACUGCCAAUCUUUUUCGGUAUCUUCCCUGUGAACUGGUUUCUAGAUAAAUUUAAGGUUCCCAGAGCUAAGAGAUUGCUUACCUCUUCUGGAAUGUCUCCUUGCAAAUGAUUGCUUGAAAGAUCAAUAAUGUUCACAAGCUUAAGUGUUUUUGUGUACGCCAUUUCUCUCCCUUUCACAACCAAUUCUACUUGAGGUAUAAAUGCAUAAGGUACAUCUGGUGGUACUUUGUGGUACAACAUCACAUCAUGGAAGCCACUCAAAUUGCCCAAACAGAUAGGAAGAUGUCCUGAUAGAUCAUUGUCUGCAAAGUCCAAGACAUGUAGCAUCUGAAGACUGCACAACUCCUGAGGUAUGCUGCCUAUGAACUUAUUGUUUCGCAACCUUAGCACUGUGAGUGAGGUUAGCCUUUCUCCAAUCCAUCUUGGUAUUUUCCCGGAAAAUCUAUUGUCUCCAAGAUCAAGCAGACUCAAGUAUGUAGAGUUUAUUGUUGUUCCGAAUGGGAGUUCUCCGGAAAGAUUGUUCCCAUUCAAUUUCAACCAGAGAAUGUAAGUUGGUAAAAACAUUGAACUAGGAAGAUUGCCUGAAAGGUUAUUCAUUGACAGAUCAAUAAUUAAGAGAGCUUGUGAGUUCCCCCAGUUAUCAUGGAUUUCUCCAGAAAAUUUGUUGUUUGACAAAUACAGCUCAGUCAAAUACUUCAUCUUCCCCAUGGAGAAGGGUAUCUCACCAUUCAUAAAGUUACCUGACAGAUUAAGGUAAGUCAUGUAUGGCAUUUGUUCACCAAUGUUCUCCGGGAUCGAUCCUGAUAUCGAAUUGUUGGCCAAACUCAGAUAUGACACAUUGCUCCAUAAAGGAAGAGGGCCUUCGAACCGAUUUGAGCUGAAGUCCACCCAUGCACCCCUUGGAAAUUCCAGUGAUUUCGGGAGCACUCCAGCUAUCCGGUUAUCAGAGAUAUCUAACCUGAUUAUUUGAGGGGUUAAUUCCCAAAACCAAUUCGGUACAGUUUCUGAGAGGCCUACCCCUUGAAGAUAGAGUGUGGACAGUUGCUUUUGAGUCUUCAGCCAAGUUGGGAAUCUAUCACCAAUUUGGUAAUUGGUGAUUCUCAUGAAUUUUAGAUUGAAAGGAGGAAUCCAGUCGUUGCUCACAUUUAAGAAAAGCUGUUUGCUUGAAGAUGAUAGAGCCAGAGUUUCCAAAUUAUUUAGCCUGUGAAAAUGUUUCUGGGAUAGAGAACCUUCUCUGGAAUCCUGAAAGAGAUACAAGUGCUUUAAUCCUGUUAACUCUCCAAUGCUUUCUGAAAUCGAACCAUUUAUCGGAUUGUAACUGAGGUCUAAUACCUCCAAGCUCCUCAAACUUCCUAUUGAUGCCGGAAUAGAGCCUGAGAUCAAGUUGUUUGAAAGGUAAAAGUACCUUAGUUCCUUGAAGAUUUGUAAAUGAUCUGGUAGCUGUCCACUUAGUUCAUUAUAAUGUAAAUAGAGUGCCUCUAAGCUACCAUUGCUGGGAGAUAGGCCAGCAAAUAGUUUGCUUAUAUGGCCUUCAACGUUGUUGUAUGAUAGAUCAAUCUCAGAAAAGGUAGUGAGAUUAGAGAACCACUGAGGUAUGGUGGAGUCUAUGUCAUUGAAGUACAGGUUCAGGACAGACAGGGAAGUGAAAUUCAAAGUGGAUAGAGUUUGGGGAAUGUUGCGAAGCUCACAGGAUUCUAGUCUCAAUUCUGAAAGACAAGGAAGCAUGUUAACAGCUUGAAGCCAGUGAUCAGAUGCCAAACUAAGGUUGACAUAUCCCAUGUUGAGGUGUUUCAAAGAAGAAAGACCUUGGAGCCAGUGCAAAUCAGAAACAAGUGCUCUCAGAUCAUACAAAUCAAGAUACUGCAGGUUUGACAGGUUUCCAAGAUGGGAAGGAACUAGUCCCUCAAAAGAUGCAUAAGAGAGAUUGAGGUAACUCAAUUCCUCAAACGAGCCUAAAAAUUCUGGAAUAAGGCUCCCCUGGAAAUUAUUCAUGCUCAAGUCCAAGUAGUUUAAAUGCUGCAACUUAAGCAAAGAAGGACUAAUCUUACCACCCAAGCACGAAGAAUUUUCAGUGAGGAUAGCAGUUUCACCUUCUUCAUAACACUCCCCAUUUCUAAGGUCAAGCCUUACUACAUUACCUGUUUUGUUGUUGCAGGUUACACCAGGCCAUGCACAGCAGUCUUCACCAGUCCAGGAUGCAAGCCGAUUUGAAGGAUCUAUUAGAGCUUCUUUAAAAGUGAUGAUUGCUUCCCUUUCAACUGGGAUGCAUCCAGUAGUUGCAUGGUAUUGAAGGCUAGUUACCAUAGGCAAUAACGAGAGGACAAGAGAGAGAAUUUGGACCAAAAUGCUUGUCAUCCUUCUUUGCUGGUUAUUGAUGGUUCUACAAAUUUUCUGAAUGCAAACGUGCCAAGAAAAUUUCACCAUCUCAUCUUCAGGUAAAGAGGAAGACUUAAACCUCAAGAAGCACUAAAGUCAUAACAAUAAUUUGAGAGCACAAGAAAAUCUGCUCUAUUAGACCAUAGCAGUGUUUUUUGAAUGCAGUUUUUUGACUUGCAAGAUGACAAAAAAAAAAAAAAAAGGAAUUCAAUUACCCAAUAACUUGGAAAUUGGAAUGCUAAACAAUUUGACCAAGUCAAUAACAGAUGGCAACAUAACAUUCAGAACUUCACAUGGCGGGAAUGCAAAUCCUUAACGCAAAAGAAAGCGCGUACCUCCCUUUUAAACAUUACAGACAUGACGGUAAAUGAAUUGAAUCGAAUCGAGUUUUGACUUAAUUGAGUCAAACUUUGACUCAAUUUUAUCAAACUCAACUUCGAUGAAUUCUCAACAUAAACCUUGUCGUGCACGAACUUAUGUUUAAAAAAAUUUAUUUUUUAAAAAAAUGAAUAAAAUAGUAAUUUUUUCUUAAUAAAUAAUAAAAUAUUAGAAAUAUAUACAUAAUUUCACUAAAUAUAUAUACACACACACAUAAUUGAAUCGAUUCACGAAUUAACAAGUUGAAUUUAUCUAUAUUUGAACUCGACUUAAGCUCAAUGUUGACCGAACUUCAGUCGGAUUUUAACUAAGUCGACUCACAAGUACUCAAAAGCAACUUGAUUCGUUUGCAGCCAAUUUAACCCACUUUCCCUGCCUUGCUUUUGGUUUGAAAAAACAAAAGAACAAAAUUGGGCUUUGGGAUCGUAAUUGCGUGAUGAAACAGAACACUUGGUUCUACUGUGUUAAUUUCCAGCAUAGUUUAGAUUUGAAAUUCAAUUAAUUAUAGUCCCGAAUGCCUGAGUUCAUAAUUUAUGCCAAUAGUCCAAUUUUUACUCUCUAUUUAAUCCAAAGUUCACAAUUAUAAUCCAAUAUAACAAUAGUUCACAAUUUAAUUAUAAUCCAAAGUUGUAUCUCUUAUUUUACUUUCUAUUUACAAUUUUUUCAAUAAUGUAUACUAAUAUCUGUCAAAUGCCCACAACGCGUGAGAUUUGGAUGGGAUAAAUCCUACUUCAACAAACUCGAAGCCAUAUGUUGGAGCCUGACUUUUCUGGAAAUUGUGCACUUUCAUUAGACCUCAAGAAAAUUACUUCAAAGCUGGAGUUAAGAGCAGUAUCAUAUUUCCUUACAUCUGGAAGUCUAAACCACAAAGACAAGAAAAUCGAAGGGGAAAUAGAAAAAUCAUUUCCAAAAGAUGGUUAUUCCUAAUUGCAAUAUUAAUUGCAAUAAUGCACUGUUAUACUAUUAAUAAACCACCCCACUCGAAUAAUUGCAACCCGAACAAUCUCUAGGAUGAUAACCAGAAGUACAUCCUCUGAAAAUUAUGAAUUAUUUAAGCAAACAGGACCAAGAAACAAUAGCCCACAUGAAGAACUAAAUCCUGUCAAGUCUCACUUUUCUUUUUCCUAGAGAAGGGACCUAAAUUGUUAUAUGCCAAAAUGUUGUAUUACAUAACUGGCAUCUAGAAAUAGAUAAAUAUCGUCCACCCCGUCCUUCAACAGCCCUCCAUGCAUUAUAUGUUCCAAAACUCAAAAACGAAUAGCUUCUAACACGCGUGACACGAGAACGUACUGAUUUCUAUAAGCUCAAGAGUUGACAGCUCGUUAGCCGAAAGUAAAAGAUUCAACAAACUAAUACUAGGCCUUUGGCACUAAAUGCCACUUCAUGUGGCAGCCUUAAUUGGCUUUCUUCGAUGAAAUCUCUACUCACAUCGAGACCCCCUCUCCUUCCCCUUAGAUUAUAUUAGAUUAGGUUAUACAAAUUCUAUCGUUGUGACAAAAAAAAAAUACUAGAUUAUUGUGCAUGAGAUUUUGCAGAACCAUGUACCCUCAACAAAAAUUUAACAGCAAAUCGCAACUUCAGUACACAUAGUCUAGGUUCUAGCCAGUAAAUAUCAAAACUUUUCAGUUCAAUAUUUGGUUACAUAUGGCGCACAAGUACUGGAAGAGAAAGCAAGUGAAUGAUGCCAUCAAAAGCGUCUAAAGCUACUACUGCAUCUGAUACAGCAAAGAGCUCAGGAGUAUCAGCAGCUUAGGCAGUACCAGUACUCUUACCCUUCUUCCUCUGGAUCUUCUUCAUAUAAAAUUCCAGUUCCUUUCCUUCCAAGAUAU
rnacentral:lncRNA from 1 species